UACGUAGGGCGCAAGCGUUGUCCGGAAUUAUUGGGCGUAAAGAGCUCGUAGGCGGCUUGUCACGUCGGGUGUGAAAGCCCGGGGCUCAACUCCGGGCCUGCAGUCGAUACGGGCUGGCUUGAGUGCGGUAGGGGAGACUGGAAUUCCUGGUGUAGCGGUGAAAUGCGCAGAUAUCAGGAGGAACACCGGUGGCGAAGGCGGGUCUCUGGGCCGUAACUGACGCUGAGGAGCGAAAGCGUGGGGAGCGAACAGG
rnacentral:rRNA from 1 species